rnacentral:sRNA from 1 species
UAAGAAGUUUAUAAUUUAUUUAUGUAUUUGAAAAAAAUCUUUCAUAUGUAUUUUUAUUUAACAGAUACAGUGAAAGAAGAUAAUUCCAAAUUAAAAGACGAAAUAAAUUUAUUGAAAGAAGAUAAUUCCAAAUUGAAAGACAAAAAAAAUAAAUUGAAAGAAGAUAAUUCCAAAUUGAGUGUUGAAAAAG